rnacentral:rRNA from 1 species
GAUGAACGCUAGCUACAGGCUUAACACAUGCAAGUCGCGGGGCAGCAUGGUGGUUGCUUGCACCCCCUGAUGGCGACCGGCGCACGGGUGAGUAACGCGUAUCCAACCUGCCCUUCACCACGGGUUACCCCGGCGAACGUCCGACUAAUACCGAUUGUUCUCCAUUGUCGGCAUCCGAUUUCGACGAACCUCUUGGCGUUGAAUGGUUGGGUAUGCGUUCGAUUAGUUUGCCGGCGGGGUAACGGCCCACCGUGGCUACGAUCGGUAGGGGUUCUGAGAGGAAGGUCCCCCACACUGGAACUGAGACACGGUCCAGACUCCUACGGGAGGCAGCAGUAAGGAAUAUUAGUCAAUGGGCGUAAGCCUGAACCAGCCAAGUAGCGUGCAGGAUGACGGCCCUAGGGGUUGUAAACUGCUGUUAUGCGGGGAUAAAGUGGCCCACGUGUGGGCUUUUGCAGGUACCGAAUGAAUAAGGACCGGCUAAUUCCGUG